GAUGAACGCUGGCGGCGUGCCUAAUACAUGCAAGUCGAGCGAACGGACGAGAAGCUUGCCUCUCUGAUGUUAGCGGCGGACGGGUGAGUAACACGUGGAUAACAUACCUAUAAGACUGGGAUAACUUCGUGAAACCGGAGCUAAUACCGGAUGAUAUUUUGAACCGCAUGGUUCAAAAGUGAAAGACGGUCUUGCUGCCACUUAUAGAUGGAUCCGCGCUGCAUUAGCUAGUUGGUAAGGUAACGGCUUACCAAGGCAACGAUGCAUAGCCGACCUGAGAGGGUGAUCAGCCACACUGGAACUGAGACACGGUCCAGACUCCUACGGGAGGCAGCAGUAGGGAAUCUUCCGCAAUGGGCGAAAGCCUGACGGAGCAACGCCGCGUGAGUGAUGAAGGUCUUCGGAUCGUAAAACUCUGUUAUUAGGGAAGAACAUAUGUGUAAGUAACUGUGCACAUCUUGACGGUACCUGAUCAGAAAGCCACGGCUAACUACGUG
rnacentral:rRNA from 1 species